UUGCGAUCUUCAAAAUCUUUGUACCAAGGUAUGUUGAUAUAGAUAUAUUUUAUUACCUUGGAAACACUGAACAACAUAGUUGGCAUGUUUAUUAGAAAUCUAGUAGCACAUCUUUUGUCAAUAUUGUUUGUUGCUACUAUAGAAACGAGAAAACAUUUAAGAUACUUCGACGGAUGCAACACAACUGAAUCAGUAUUCCGACAACCACUGCAAGGUGAACAUCAUGAACAGAAAUAUAUAAGAAUGAUUGAAGUUAUACAAGAAGUCAUAGUGGUGUUCAUAUUGAAGAAGUAUUGAAGCCAUUCACAAUACGGAAGAUCCUACCUAAUGGUCGAAGCACUUUUAACCAAGGUAUCGUUAUGGAUGUUAUUAGCUUUUUAAACAUUGAACAAUCUCUAAACUUUUAUUGAGAAUAUAGUAACAAAUCAUUUGAUAUUUGAUGUGGUUGCUAUAGAAAAGUGAAAUCAUUUGAAGAUUUUUCGUUCAGUGAGAUACACACACAAAUCUGGGCUCCAAUAACUCAGUGUGUUUCCACUCCAAUAGAUGUUGUAUUGCACUUCGCAUAAGUAAGACAUCAUGAAGAAAUAGAGAAGUAUUUGUUCCACUCACGGUAGAAGCAAGAAAGAUUGGAGAUCCACAAGAAAAGCGAAGGCCAAAAGUCUAAUAGAGAAAUGCGGUACAACGGAAAAUGUGCCCCUUGAGUGGAACUCUUCACCUAUAAGCAAGAUAUUUUUUAGACUAGUCUGAUGAAAUUCCGAACCUCAGAAUCUUUAUACCAAGGUAUUAUAGAUCCAUUUUAUUACCUUAUAAACAGUGAACAAGAUAGUUGGCACUGUUUUAUUGAAAAUCUAGUAGUAUAUCUUUUUUCAAUGUUGUGUUGCUACCAUAGAAACGAGAAAACAAAAACAAGAUACUUCGACGCAUGCAUCAUAACUGAAUCAUUACUCCGGCAAGCAUUGAACAGUGAACAUCAUAAAACUAAGAAUGAACUUAUACAAAUAUGCGAAGUGGUUCAGAAAAGUGAAAUCUGAAGAUUGGAGUCAUACAAGGAAAUCUAUGCUUCAAUACAAGUUGUAUUGAAUCAGUGCAGGAGUAAGGAAGUUACAACCAAGUGUGACAUCCUCGAAUAAGUCUGAUCUACUGUUGAAAUUAACCCGAGCUUCAUGCAAAGCAGAAGUACACAAGAAAAUGACAUAAAAUGUAUAUGAACAUGAAAAUUGUUCAUAUACCACCAGCAAAAGAAAGCAGUUCCAUAAUAAUAAAGAAAGAACAAUCUCAAACAACAUAGGAGCAAAUUAAUAUGUGCACCCCAAUAAAAAGAAGUUUCUUCAUUGGAAACAAGAUGUGCUGCCCCAAUAAUUAUGAAUCCUGACUGGCCAAUCCAACAAUCAUCUAAAGUUAAUUAUUGCCGCUUGUCCAGAAACAAAAUACAACAUUUGGAGAUAUAUGUAUUCAUAAAAUUGAAAUUUGGAUCAUCAAAAUAGCUUCAGAGAAAACAAACAUAUGAUACAUAGUUAUACAUAAUUUGUUUGUUCUUUUCUUUAAAGUUAUUUGGAUGGUCCAAAUUCCAGUAAUUAUUUCGGUUUAUUUAUUGUAACCUACUAGCAUGGUUAUACUAUCAAAUUUUAUAAUUUUCAAAAAGCUGAGAACAAUGUUUCGCGUUUAAACUUUUUGGGACCGGUACACGAAAUUCAAUAUUCCAGUAACUAUUUGAAAGUUUUCCAUUUUUUAUAAUUUUGUUAUUGAGAACAGUAAUCUACAAUAACUAUAUUUUCCAAAUUCCAGUACUUUAUAUUUUUCAAAACUGUAAUCGAUAAGAGCAAUCAUAUUGUCAAAAUUCUAGUAAGAUAGCCACUUUUCACUAAUGGCUAUUACUUAACCGAGGGUCAAAGUGGAUAUGAACAUCUAAUCUAGAAUAGAAGCUAAAAACCUACUAUUUUGAUCAAAUUUUUAAUAUUGUCGCAUGAUUUUAACUAUAUAUAAUAUAUUUAUUAUUAACAUAAAUAAAAUUCAACCAAAUUCCAGUAAUUAUUUAAAGAUUACCAUUUCUUACAAAUGGUAUAUCGCACAGGAGGGGGGAUAUUUCAUAAUUUUAUUUUAUAGAAGCCUUUUAUUCCUCUGGAGUUUAAAAUUUUAUUUAAAUACAUAUACAAUUUUCUUUGUGUCAGUAAAUGUCAUGAAAAUCCACAUAUUUUUAAAUUUAUACUACUCUUACAUAUGGUAUAAAUUCAAGUAAUUAAUAUAUUAACUCAUUAUUGGACAUCACAAUAUGCUAUACAUUAGGAUAUUAUCUUCAAACAUCAAAUUAUAUUAUCUUUUUAUAUUUUUAUAUUUAUAAUCUAUUAAGAAUGUUUUACAAUAGUAUUUACUGUUUUAUUCGUUCAUUUUUUAGAUUAUUACUAAAAUUAAAAUCAAAUUGUCUAAAUUCCAGUGGUUCUUUACAAGAUAUCCAUUUUAUACAAAUGGAAUCUUAUUUUUAUCAGCGGCAGUCACAAUAAGGUACACUAACGAAGGUGUAGUGGAAUGACGGUGAAAAAAGUACGAAGCAUAUCAAACUGCAAAAAAGACAUUGACAAUUUUAAUUACAUUAACUUAUACACAAAAUACACUAUUGUAUAUUCAAUUAUUUUAUACAUUUGUUUUAUAAACUACUAUAUAUUAUAUUGUUUAGAUCACAUAUAUAAUGAAUAGAAUUAACUAAAUUCCAGUGAUGAAAUAACAGACGUAAAAUAAUAACAACAGUCACUGCGUUAUCUUAUACAUAUAUAUAUAUAAUAAAAUUAACUAAAUUCCAGUGAUUCUAGACACCAAUUUUUACAUGUGGAAUAUCGAAUACUUAUUAGUGGGGAAUCAUAGCAUUAUUAUAGCCAAACAACAAAAUUUGCGUUAUACUAUAAUGAGAUGAUUAAAUAUUCCAGUGAUUAAUUUUUUUUCAAAUGGUAUGUAUAUCGAAUUAACAUCUAAAUAAGUAGGGACAAUCUUAUAUGUUAGACGAUCACAAUAACAUGCAAAUACACUCGUUUAAUACGUGUAGUAGAAUGACGGUGAAAAUAGUGGAAAAUACGGAAUAUGUAAAAUUCUAUAAGACAUAAAGCUUUAAUUACAUUUUUAUAUGAUUGAACAUAUACACAACCACCUAGCACUCAAACGACUUUACUAUUAACACAUUUACAUUUUUACUAUUUUAUACAUUUGUUUUAUGUACGACUUGAAUCACUUAGGAUUAACAUAAAUAACUAAAUCCCAGUGAUUUUAACAUCUAAUAUCGAAUAACAUUAGUGGAAAUCAUGACAAUUUGUUAUGAGUUUUAUACCACGACAAAAUAAUUAAAGGACGGAAAGUAAUAACAACAGUCACUGCCUUAUCCUAUGAGACGAAUUAAAAUGAACUAUAUAUUAUAGAUGGGGACCAUUUUGGGUUUUACGACUGACAAUCGCUUAUCUUUUUAUUAGCGGCAGUCAGAAUUUAGUACUAGUACACUCGUAAAAAAUGUGCAUAAACUAUGACACUGACAAUUUUACAUUUUAUAUAUUUUUUAAUUAUAUUUUUUAAUAAAUACACAGAACAUAAUAGCACUCAAACGACUCCUGAUUUACACAUUUCCUUUAUUCGCUACUGUACUAUAUGGAUCAAAUAAAAUAAGAACAGAAUUGACUAAAUUCCAGUGAUUAUUACAAUUAAAUAACGGACGUAAAAUAAUCAACAGUCACUGUCGUAUCCUAAAGAGACGAAUAAAAUUAAGUAAAUGCCAGUGAUUCAUUUUUAACAAAUGGUAUGUAUAUCGAAUAAACAACGGAUUAUUGAGGACCAUCACAUGUUUUAUGACUGGUAUUUCGCUUAUUCUUAUCAGCGGCAGCCACCAUAAGGUACAAGUACACUUAUUAUUUAAUACUUGUAGUGUGGAAUGACUGAAAAAAAAAUGGAAAAAAUAUUAGCCGUACAAGAUGACAUUGAUAAUUUUACAUUACAUUUUUAUUUGGUUCAACUUAUACAGAACCUAAAGAUUUUAUCUAUUUACUAUUUUAUACAUUUGUUUUACACACUACACUACUAAAUCUAGAUUACUUAUUCUAUGAACAGAAUUAACUAAAUUCCAGUAAUUCUAACAACUAAUCCAUGUAUUUAUUUCAAUUAAAUAACGGACUCAAUGUAAUAACAAACACUGCCUUAUUCUAUUAUGACUAAAUUCCAGUGAUCCAUUUUUAGCAAAUAGUAUGUAUAUAUUGGUGGGACCAUUUUAAAUAUACAUUUUCCCAGGAUUCCAUCAUAUUACAUACUUUUAUAAAAGUGGUAUUAAGGUAUGAAUCGGUAGAUCUGUAUCACAUGUUAAACUUAUACAAAACACACACACUUAUCUAAAUUCCAGUGAUUUUAAGAAUUUCCAUUUGUUACAAAUGGUACGGCGUUAAUGGGGAAUCAUAUUAUAUAUAUUUUCAACUAAUAAUAGGCUAUUUUUUUUAAACAGUCACAAUAUGGUAAAAAUACUUAAUUACUAGAAAGACGGUGAACCAAAAGUACAAAUUUGCAGUAGUGUAUGACAAAUCACAAUUUCAACGACACUCAAACGAUUUAAUAUUUUUGAACUAUUUAAUUUUGUGUACUGGAUCAAAGUAUACGCUUAACUAAAUUCCAGUGAUUUCUAAACAUUAAUUAAUUUUUUUUUUAUAAAUAAUAUAUAUAUAAGGGAAGGAAUACCAUGACAUUACUGCAUACAAAGAAAAUACGACUUGACGGUUUUGAUACAAAUAAUAAAAUAACUAACGGACGUAAAAUACAGUCACAGCCUUAUUCCUACCAAGAGACAUCACUUUUAUAGAUGCCAUCAAUUUAAUGCGCUAUAACGACUAAUAUACAUUUUAUACACAUGAACUAUUUACACUGUGCUAUUUAUUUCGAGGCUUGCAUUUCCUUAACUCAUUACAUAUUGAUACACUUUUAUACAUCCCUGUUUAUAUUUAUUUAGUAUAUUUGAUUUAAUGCAGUAGAAUGUGUUCAUCAUUUAUUAUAUAUUAUAUUUACUCUUGAAAUACACCUUACACUAACUAAAAAUCUAGCAUUAACUAGAGCUCAUAUUUCCUUAGCUAAAUAUCUAACAACAACAAAAUACAUCCAGACAAUGUAAACCCAUCAGAAUGUAUAACAUCAUAAAGAACCCACACAUACACUCAGAUUUUCGACCUUGGUGAUAUCACUUUUAUACAAUAUCACCUAUUUUAUAUCCUUUGAACUAUUUACUAUAUUAUACUAUUUAUACCGAUCCGAUUAUUUUAUUCCAUAGAACCCACACAUACAUGAAUCCAUAUACAAUAACCUUAUACUACGACCUGCUUAGUGGUAUCGCUUUUAUAUUGAUAUCACUAAUUUUAUCUUCACUGAAGCUAUUUUAUAUUAUACAGUAUAUUUCAAUUUAUACAAUAUAUUUAUACAUUAUUGCCGCUUUUCCAAGGAUCUAUGAUCACAUUAUAAGGUACGUUCAACCUAUAGUUGAUGUAGAUUCACUAUUAAGGCUCUUAUAUUUGUUGCUUAUAAUACAUUUCACAUUUCCAUGCAUAUUACAUAUAAUAAAUUGGUAUAUUGAUUUCCGGCUCGCACUUCCUAACAUGUUAAUAUUAAUAUAGCAUAAUUUGGUAGUCGUAAAUAUAGUUACAUUUCUUCAAAAAAAAAAAAAUAUAUUCAUAUUUGCCACUAAAAUGUAAUAACACAACGACCUUUAUCAGUUUCUCAUAGAUGUCCCCAUCCAAUUCCAUCUUUGGUGAAGUGUCUUAUUGAUGUGGUUUUCAACACUUCAUGGGGGCUUCUAUGGAACAAACAUUCAGACAUAUCCCCUCCAUCGGUUGUUGUUAAAAAGCAUUGCGGUGAAAAAUAUGAAACAAAAAUAUUGUUUCCACAUAACGUAAUUAUAAAUGAUAAAAAAUAACCAGCGCUAAUAGGACAAGUUCGACAUUGUUUUUUAUCUAAUAAUUAAAUAUUGUUGGAGACCAUUGUUAAUUAAAUAGAAUAUGUUGUUCCUA